AAGCAGGUUCCCCCUAGGCAGAGCGCCAAGAAGCAGCCCAGGCGAUCCCAAGGCGCACAAGUGCUCUCACCAGGCUGCGCGCUGGCGGGUCGGUGCACAGGGACGGGGUCGCCGCCCACGCGCGCUUGGUUCAGGGAGCCCAGGCUGUCCCUACCCGCGGCUACAAAAGCUCGCCGAGUCUUCCUGUCCACCCAAUCGCCCCACAUGUCAGCGGUUGGUCGCCUCGCGGUGCAGUGCUGGGCACGCGAGCCCCUCCCGCAGUCAUUCUCAGCACAAGCACCAGCCUGGAGCCCCGCAGCGACAGAGCUGAGAGCCCCCAAGCCGCAGAGGUCGUGCGGAGCAGGCCUAAGGCAAUAGCUAAUUGAGACUAUGCAUCACUAUUAAGGCAUCUUCACUAAAGGGCGCUGUGGAAACGCUGCCUGAGAUGCAGACACCUGUCAGAAGGGGGCUAAAUUUCAAACAAGGAACGUGGUGUUGCAUCACAAUAAAAACAGAAGAAACACACGUGUUCUUGUGUGUAAACCCAGUCCAUGGAAGAGACCGUCUGCUUGUCCCUCCUGAUCUCUGGGCCCAGACAACCAGUAGUCACCAUUCCAAGUGAGGGGUGGCUGCAACUCUACAGCCCCGUUCGUCUCUCCUCACUGUCAAAGCUGCUGAGACCCCAGACUCGACACUUGAAAGAAACCCAUGUCUGUGAAGCACUUGUGGACCAUUCAAGAUUGUGGAAGAAUCACUCAAGAGAAGGAGAUAGGUGAUGGGAUCUAGCUUCUGAUGGUUUCUAUUUUAUUGAAUGUCUAAUAGGGCAAGAAUUUGAAAAACGAGAAUGUUUGCCAUGCAGGAGGACCUGGGAAGGAGAUAACACAUUUACAGGGAGAAAGAUUGGGAUUCAGUUGGGAGGAGUAACUGAGGAAAGGGGUCACUCAAAAUAUUUUGUAUUUUAGGUCCUUUUUCUAUUAAGGAGGAAUGGAUUAUCAAAGCCUUAACAUUAAAUUGUAUUGUGUCAGGUGAAUUGCUAUGGUUUGAAUGUGGUGUGUCCCCCUCCCAAACUCACAUUGAAUUUUUUUUUUUUUUUUUGAGACGGAGUCUCGCUCUGUUGCCCAGGCUGGAGUGCAGUGGUGCGAUCUUGGCUCACUACAAGCUCUGCCUCCCGGGUUCAAGAGAUUCUCCUGCCUCAGCCUCCCGAGUAGCUGGGAUUACAGAUGUUCGUCACCACACCUGGCUAAUUUUUGUAUUUUUAAUAGAGAUGGGGUUUCACUAUGUUGGCUAGGCUGGUCUCAAACUCCCGACAUCAGGUGAUCCACCCACCUCGGCCUCCCAAAGUGCUGGGAUUAGAGGAGUGAGCCACUGCACCCAGCCUCACGUUGAGGUUUAAUUGCCAUUGUAACAGUAUAAAGAUGUGGGACCUUUACGAGGUGAUUAGGCAAUGAGGACUCUGCCCUCAUGAAUGGAUUAAUGCUGUUAUCAUGGGAGUGGAUUCCUUAUAAAGGGACACGUUCAGCACCCCCUUGCUCUCUCUCUCACCUUCCGCCAUAUGAUGAUGGGGCACAAAGGCCAUCAUCAGAUGUUGGCCCCUUGUUCUCGAACUUCCCAACCUCCAGAGCAGUAAAAAAAUAAAUCACUGUUCUUUAC
rnacentral:lncRNA from 1 species